rnacentral:lncRNA from 1 species
CUCUGGGAGGGUUGCCAAGCUGAGGAAACAUAGGGAACACAGUGCCGAGCCACCACGAUCCUCAGCCUCCCCAUCCCCCUGCCCCUAGGAGAUAAAGAAGAAACAGAGACAAAGAGACAAGUAGAAAAUGCAGAAUGUGAGGGAGCCAAGAGAGUAAUAGCACUCAAACCAAAGGAGAGGAGCUGAGGGGGAGGGAGAGACCUUUGGCCCAGCUAGAAAUCCUGGACUAAGGCCAUCUCUUCUGCCCUCCUGCCCUCACACACUGUACUUCUCUUCCAUCUCAGAUGUGGACCCAGUUGUCCGGGAGCAGAAGCUGCUGAGGGAGCCGGGUCGGCUCAGGCAGGAGUCCGAGGCAGGGAGCACCUAGAGAUCUCAAAGCCAAUGUCUUGGGGACCCUAAAACGAUCCUAAAUCACCAUCAGUCUGAAUUGGGACAGCCACCGGGUGUGAGAGCUGUGGAAUAGGUACUAUGUGGAAGGACAGAGAGGAUGCCGUCCCUGCCCACAAGAAGCUGAUAAAUUCAUGGGGGAGACAGGACAUUACU